rnacentral:rRNA from 1 species
GCACAAGCGGUGGAGUAUGUGGUUUAAUUCGAUGCAACGCGAAGAACCUUACCUGGUCUUGACAUCCCGGAGACCCUUAGGAAACUAGGGGGUGCUUCCAUCUGGAAGAAUCUGGAGACAGGUGCUGCAUGGCUGUCGUCAGCUCGUGUCGUGAGAUGUUGGGUUAAGUCCCGCAACGAGCGCAACCCUUGCCUUUAGUUGCCAGCAGGUUCGGCUGGGCACUCUAAAGGGACUGCCGGUGUUAAACCGGAGGAAGGUGGGGAUGACGUCAAGUCCUCAUGGCCUUUAUGACCAGGGCUACACACGUACUACAAUGGCCGAUACAAAGGGCAGCGACACUGCGAGGUGAAGCCAAUCCCGUAAAAUCGGUCUCAGUCCGGAUUGGAGUCUGCAACUCGACUCCAUGAAGUUGGAAUCGCUAGUAAUCGUGGAUCAGCAUGCCACGGUGAAUACGUUCCCGGGCCUU